UACGUAGGGUGCGAGCGUUAAUCGGAAUCACUGGGCGUAAAGGGCGCGUAGGCGGCCAUUCAAGUCAGGGGUGAAAGCCUGUGGCUCAACCACAGAAUUGCCUUUGAUACUGUUUGGCUAGAGACCGGAAGAGGUAAGUGGAACUGCGAGUGUAGAGGUGAAAUUCGUAGAUAUUCGCAAGAACACCAGUGGCGAAGGCGGCUUACUGGUCCGGUUCUGACGCUGAGGCGCGAAAGCGUGGGGAGCAAACAGG
rnacentral:rRNA from 1 species